UUCGACGAUACGCGAAGAACCUUACCAGGUCUGACAUCCCUGACAACCCGAGAGAUCGGGCGUUCCCCUUCGGGGGACAGGGUGACAGGUGGUGCAUGGUUGUCGUCAGCUCGUGUCGUGAGAUGUUGGGUUAAGUCCCGCAACGAGCGCAACCCUCGACCUUAGUUGCCAGCAUUCAGUUGGGCACUCUAAGGUGACUGCCGGCUAAAAGUCGGAGGAAGGUGGGGAUGACGUCAAAUCAUCAUGCCCCUUAUGACCUGGGCUACACACGUGCUACAAUGGGCGGUACAAAGGGUCGCGAACCCGCGAGGGGGAGCCAAUCCCAAAAAGCCGCUCUCAGUUCGGAUUGCAGGCUGCAACUCGCCUGCAUGAAGCCGGAAUCGCUAGUAAUCGCGGAUCAGCAUGCCGCGGUGAAUACGUUCCCGGGCCUU
rnacentral:rRNA from 1 species